UACGGAGGAUGCAAGCGUUAUCCGGAAUGAUUGGGCGUAAAGGGUCCGCAGGUGGCAGUGUAAGUCUGCUGUUAAAGAGUCUAGCUCAACUAGAUAAAAGCAGUGGAAACUACACAGCUAGAGUAUGGUCGGGGCAGAAGGAAUUCCUGGUGUAGCGGUGAAAUGCGUAGAUAUCAGGAAGAACACCGGUGGCGAAAGCGUUCUGCUAGGCCGAGACUGACACUGAGGGACGAAAGCUAGGGGAGCGAAUGGG
rnacentral:rRNA from 1 species